CAGUCGUACCGGCGGAUAAUCAGCCUUUCGGGUGCGAUUCUGUGGGGCGUGAGGAGCUUAACCGCCUUCAUGUUUUGCAUAUUCGUGCACAUCUGGUGUACUUGUCCGUGUAGUGGGUUAACAUCAAUUUCGGUCGUCAUAAAAUGAUUGGAGGAAUGUAGCUUUGGUCUCGUAUCGAAGUGUUAUAGACUCUGGUAGAUGUGACGUAGUUGGGAUUUGAGGAUUGCAACGGAUACCCCGUUCGGGGGCUACCCGGUCUGAUCUCU
rnacentral:rRNA from 1 species